UAAGGAAUAUUGGACAAUGGUCGCAAGACUGAUCCAGCCAUGCCGCGUGCAGGAAGACGGCCCUAUGGGUUGUAAACUGCUUUUGUACCAGAGAAAACCUAUCUACGUGUAGAUAGCUGAUAGUAUGGUAAGAAUAAGCAUCGACUAACUUCGUGCCAGCAGCCGCGGUAAGACGAAGGAUGCAAGCGUUAUCCGGAUUCAUUGGGUUUAAAGGGUGCGUAGGCGGGCUUGUAAGUCAGUGGUGAAAUCUCUCAGCUUAACUGAGAAACUGCCACUGAUACUGCAGGCCUAGAGUAUAGAUGACGUUGGCGGAAUAUGACAUGUAGUGGUGAAAUACUUAGAUAUGUCAUAUAACACCGAUUGCGAAGGCAGCUAACGAAACUAUAACUGACGCUGAGGCACGAAAGUGCGGGGAUCAAACA
rnacentral:rRNA from 1 species